UGUAGAGUUUUUCUGGAAUAAUGUGCCGUAUUCUACAAAUUUUCCCACUUUCACAUUUCAGCUUUGUGUUGAGCGACCGUAUAUGAGCAUCCCAUUUAAGCUGAUCAUCAAUAAUAACACCAAGAAACUUCACCUUUUUGACUUGCUUUAUUACUACAUUGUUUAGAGUCAAUUCUGCUAGAGUCCAAGUUUCUAUCAAAGAUUUGGAAGAUGGGUAACUACACUUGGGGAGACUGUCAAGGAUGUCAGAGAGUUCAGAUAGUGCAACAUUGACAUUACCACUUGGAGGACGGUACAUUACACCAACUGUUACUGGGGAAGUUGUACUACUUACGGCCACAAAAAGAGUUUCUAAAUGUUCAGUGAUAUGGGAUACAUUGCCGUUUACUCUGGCACUAAGAGUGUCACAAACAUAGAGAGCUACUCCAGUGCCCUUUUUUUUAUCUGGUAUUGUGUUUUGGUAGAAACUGUUGUAUCCAGUUAAUUGAUACAAACUGCUGGAUUCAGGACCUUCAUUUGUUUCCGCUAAGGCUAUGAUCGAGAAUUUCUUGGUGAGCCUAUGGGAUUCAAUAGCGAAAGUGUCGAAAUUUGACUUAUUGCCGUCGAUGUUUUGGAAGAGAAGCGAUGAAAAUUCAUUCAUUUGAUUAUCUAGUGCUUUGUUGAAUUCCUUGACAUUGUACGAUACGCAGUUAUUUAGUAUUUGAUCUACUUUUAUGAUAGUGUCAUCCAAUUCACUACUUUCAAUAUCACUUAAAUUAGUGCAUGCAAGUCGAAAUGGAUUGUAACGAAUAACUGCUAAAUGUACGCACUUGGGACAGUAAAAAUCGUCAGAUAAUGUGUCAUUGUUAAUGGAUUUGGUAUAGCACUUAUGGUGCAUUGGGCAGUCGCAUUCACAGCAUUCAACAAUGAAUUGUCCUACGUUAAUGAACUUCGCACAGACUAGGCAUACCUCUUUAAUCAGGGGAGUCAGAAUGGCUGGUAACCAUCCUGGUGUCGAGACUCAGCAGCAGUAGUAGAACCCGUCCCACUCAACACGUUCCGAUAUGAGCGUCCAUCAACCUCGUCUGUUCUCCUUUUCCUUCUAUCAACUCCUCCAUUCAUUCUAAGAAGCACUGUGUUACGAAUCAAAGUGCCUAGUUUAGCUGUACCCCUCCAGUUAAGGUGGAGAUGAUCUGGUCGCUGGUCUCGGCCGAUGUUUCUGGAGAACUGUUGGCUAAGAAGCCCAGCAUCAUCACAGAACCCACCGAACCCAUCGACGUAAGUCACACCAAAAUUUGAAGGGAUCAGCUCUGUCAGAAUAAGGCGGUUAAAGCAAACAACUUUUCUAUUCAGUUCAGCAAGCU